rnacentral:rRNA from 1 species
AUGACAGUGCUAUUUUUUAUUGUAUUAAUACUGCAUCUGAUUCACAUACUUCAUCUAACCUUGUUUGAGAAAUUGUGCAUGUUUUUGCUUCAUUGGUCCAGGAAAAUCCAGGUGAAACCUUUCAAGAACUCACGACGACACGCAAUGAUUAUAUUUCAUUGUGAUGGCCGCUGCCGACACAGCUACUAUGGGUACACGCAACUUCUAUUUCGCUCGUCACCGGAAACCACCGCCCAGAUCCAUCUCUUCUCAACCAUGCCGACGUGGUGGUCAGGGGCGCUUACAACUUGUGAGGACCUGCGUUCUCGCUGUUGA